rnacentral:rRNA from 1 species
UACGGAGGGUGCAAGCGUUAUCCGGAAUCACUGGGUUUAAAGGGUGCGUAGGCGGUCAGAUAAGUCAGUUGUGAAAUACCCCGGCUUAACCGGUGGAACUGCGAUUGAUACUGUUUGACUUGAAUCAGGUUGAGGUAGGCGGAAUGUGGCAUGUAGCGGUGAAAUGCUUAGAUAUGCCAUAGAACACCGAUUGCGAAGGCAGCUUGCUGGGCCUUCAUUGACGCUGAGGCACGAAAGCGUGGGGAGCAAACAGG